UGAUUGGAGAGUGGCAACAUGCCCACAUGCACACAACACAGCUGACAGGACACUAUCCACUCCUGCAAAGGAGAAGAUAAUAAGCCAAACUUAGUUGUUUUCCUUUCAUAAUUUCAUGUAUAACUUGCAAACACCCAGAAGCAUGACAUGACCUAUCUCCCACAUCAAUUGAGAUCUGAGAAAACCGCUCCAACAUGAUCAAGACCUUUCAACUUGUUGGCAUGCUGACUGGAAGGCUUCGUUUUGGGAUUAUGUCAAUGCCUUCAGCAGAUGCUGUUGCGUUACAUAAAGAGAUAUGCCUUGCUGGAGAGCUUCCACUCACUCCUAAUGUGUGCAUUCUGGCCACGGGCAACAGCUUCACAUCCAGUCCUGUCACUGACAUGGCAACCAAGGAUUCUGGGAGCAUUUCCAAAGCUGUUUUGCAUCACUUGUCAAAAGGUCUGAUAUCCCAUGGCGGUUUGUGUGACAGCAGAGAAGAACAGGGUGGAGCAGCUAUUUUUACCUGAAUCCCAGGAGUAAGCUCAAUACAGAAGGUGGAGCAGGAGGAGAGUGGAAUUUGGACAACGUUUGGGAAUGUGAAUCAGUCCUGACCGGUAGAUGGUUCGGCUCAGCUUGGCAUCGGAAAAGUCCACAUGGAACAACCCAAAACGAA